rnacentral:lncRNA from 1 species
CUAGCACGUAUAUCCCUACUGGACUCCAUAUGUGUAACUAGAUUGCUGCUGGACUUUUCUUUUUUGGAUGUUCUAUGUUAAACUACAUUUAAAUUGACCCAUCAUAUUUUCUCUCAAUUCUCAUUCUGUGUUCCACAUCUCAGUAAAUGUCACCAAAAUUCACUAACUCUUUUACUUCAGGAGCAAGGAUGCAAUCAUUAGUACCUUUGUCUUCCUCAUUCCUUCUCAAUUUCCAAGUUCAUUCUGUAUUUUCUUCAAAGAUUUGAACUCACAUUUUUCUCACCAGCCUCACUGCCAUGCCACAGAGGAAUUCAUCUGAACUUGGUGAAAUUAAUAGUUUAUAGUCUGUUUUAACAUCCAAUUGUAUUUGGUUUUGUAAUGUUCUAUACUACAUGCAAUGGUCUUUUCACUCCAAAUAGAUAAACUUUCUCGAAGGUAAAUAUUAUAUUACCUACCUUUUGGCAUAUGCAUUGUUUUAAUUCUGGUGCUAGAGCUAUACAUGUAGUACAUUUAAAUGUAGUUUUGAAUUUGGUAUUCUUGGAUAGAACUGGAGGUCAUUAUGUUAAGUGAAAUAAGCCAGGCACAGAAAGACAAACUUCACAUGUUCGCACUUAUUUAUGGGAGCUAAAAAUUAAAACAAUUGAACUCAUGAAGGUAGAAGGUAGAAUGAUGGUUACCAGAAGCUGAGAAAGGCCAUGAGAGUGGAGGGUUGGGGAGGGGAGUGGAGAUAGUUAAUGGGUACAAAAUAAAGUUAGAUUGAAUGAAUAGGAUCUAGUGUUUGAUACUACAACAGGGUGAUUACAAUCAACAAGAAUUUAUUAUAUAUAUGAAAAUAACUAAAGAUUUUAAUUGGAUUGUUUGUGACAAAAAGAAAGGAUACAUGCUUGAGGUGAUGGAUACCCCACUUACCCUGAUUUGCUUAUUAUGCAAUGUAUGCCUGUAUCAAAAUAUCUCAUGUACUCCAUAAAUAUAUACCGCUACCAUGUACCCACAAAAGCUAAAAGUUAAAAAUUAAAAUAAAUAAAUAAAAUAAACUUUCAGGUUAAAAAAAGGAAGUUGAUGUUCCUCUUAAAGAGUCUGUGGAAAUUUUCUUCUUCAUAAGUCACCUCACAAUCCAAAUAUAAAGGCUAAAGUUGGGCCCACUGGCUAGUUGAACUUGUGUCAUCCUAAAGCAGCUUAAUUGUAGUAUUGUCAUGCUUUAAGAGCUGGGAAAAUUGAGGAACAUGAGAUCAGACACAGCCAAACUUAACUUUCACUGAGGCUGCUGCCCCUCCUGUGGGUAUAAUAUUUCCGUUCAUCAAAAGAUUUUUUUCCUUACUUAAUGUACUUACCAUGUGGUUUUAUUAGAAUGAAUAGCUCUCUCCUUGUAAAUGCAUUUGGUUGGAAAUUCAAUUUCUUUCAGGGCCAGUGGGAGAGGUCGAAGGGCUAUAAAUAUUCCUUCUCCAAACUGUUUAUAAGUAAAAUGGCAUUGCCUAAGAGGCCUGAAAAAUGUUGCGCUAUAUCCUGAAUUAUGUACAAAUCCCUGGCAAUCUUCUGUUUCUUUCUUUGAUGAGGACAGAUUUUACAGUCUCCCUCAGUGAUGAGUUAUGUUCGUAGUUGUUUUAAUGGAUAGCUGUGUCUAUGAAGAAUGAGAGUGAUCACCAGGGCUUCAACUCUAACUCCUGACUUUUCUUUUAAACCUGGGGACUAGAAAUUCUCAUCAUGCCUCCCUCAUUGUUGUAUCUAGUGUUGAAAUGAGGAGACCUUGGUAGAACCUACUAACCCCUCUGCCUCUGGGUUGUGCAACUUUGGGUAAGGCCCACAACUACUUUGUUCUUAUUUUUCUUGUGUUAAAUGAAACUAUUAUCUUCUAUGCAUUCCUCCCAGGCUUGAUGUAGAUAUAAUUUUAGUCCCAUUUUCAAAGUCAGUUUUUAAUUCAUUCCAUCAAAUAAUUAGUUUCAUAGCAUAUUUCUGGGUGGCAAGCAUGCACAGACAAAAGAGAUAAUGCAAUGCUUUUGUGAAAUCACGUACAUUGUCUCAUGUGAUUUUCCUCCUCAGAAUGAUUGUUGGUCUGGGGAAAAAUAAGAAAAUUUUUGGUAUUGUCCUCUUUAAUUGAAAAGUGAGGUUCAGUAGGAAAGAAAUGAAAACUACAAUUUUGUGAGUGUCUACUAUAUGCCAAGCACAAGCUGGAUGCUAAAUAUGUAAAUUGGAUAGCUACCAGCUGAUUUCAUUUACAUCCACUCUUGAAUGGGUUUACAUCCAUUCUAACUUGGCUUCCUCCUCAUGUUUUCAUCACCCCCAGAGGUAUCUAAGCCAUCUAUUGUGGAGUCUUAAUUGGGUCCAGUAUCGUGGAGAAGUAAAUUGGCCCUGCAAAAGAGUUAAUUGGAAUGUGGGUGGUAGCAACUCUGAAAAACUUGUUUUCAUCCUGCACUAGAAUAGUCCAAGUUCAUCAAACUGAAAAUAAAUAUUUGCAUUGAAAGUACAGAACAUGACAAAAUAUCAGGUAAACUUUGAUUCAUUUUCUUCUGAGAUGACUAAAAACAUUUUAGUUAUUCUCUCAUUAUUUCUACCAUCAAGAAGAGAUCCACAUAGAGCUUAAAAUACUGCAUGGACAUAUCCAAACAACAAGUGGUUGCCUGCCCCAUCUGUCCUCCCCUCAAGCAUACUCUAAGCUAUUUAGGCUUUGGGUUCCAUGAAAUCUGGAAAAAUUCUUCAGAGGCUGAAAGACAGUAAGAACAUUAAUUUCCCCUACAGUUUCCCAGUCUGAAGAGAGCUGCUUGUUAAAACAGGGAAAAGCAUCUCUAAUUCAAAAUGCCAGUAGUCAUACAAUUAAACUGGGAAAUGGAGAACUAAUUAUGAUUGUAUAAAAUAUAUGAAGCUUUCAUAUCAAAAAGUAAAUCUCAAAUGGCUCAGCUUUAGGAUAUCCAUCUUUCUCAGCCUGGUCCCUGGCUGGAGACAAAUAUUUGGCAUAUGUCAUAGUUUAGCCAUCAACCCAAAGGCACCAAGAUACUUGCUGCUAUCACCUAUUUUCUUCCAUGUCGUUUUGAGAUCUUUGCCUAUUGCCAGACCCAUCUUUGCCAAAAAGGAAUUAAUCAUGUUCUAGUGAAGUCACUGUGGGUAUGUAUUUAUUCAUUCUCAGGAGCCUGGCAAUGGCUCCAGUCCUUUGAGUUCCCCCUGGUAGGGUGAUGGGAAUGUAUAGUUUAGAAAAAUAUAGAGUUUUGCGUUAUACCCUUUGAUCAGCAUAAUGCCAGAUUAGCUAGGAAAUGUGGUCGUGGCCUGGUUUAUUUGGACUGGGAGUGGCAAUCCAGGAAAUGGACUUUACCAAAGAGCCAAGGUGGCAUCUGUCUUCUAUCCAAUCAUCUAACUGCUGUGGAAAAAAAUAUACUGAAUAGCAAAAGUAUUUGUACUGAUAAAUUUCUUUUCCUAUCACUGAAACCAGUAAAUCAUUUUAUAAUGUUCAUUCAUUUGUAAAAACAGUUACCAUCUAC